rnacentral:rRNA from 1 species
AUUGAACGCUGGCGGAAUGCUUUACACAUGCAAGUCGAACGGCAGCACGGACUUCGGUCUGGUGGCGAGUGGCGAACGGGUGAGUAAUGUAUCGGAACGUGCCCAGUCGUGGGGGAUAACGUAGUGAAAAUUACGCUAAUACCGCAUACGAUCUAUGGAUGAAAGCGGGGGAUCGCAAGACCUCGCGCGAUUGGAGCGGCCGAUAUCAGAUUAGGUAGUUGGUGGGGUAAAGGCCCACCAAGCCAACGAUCUGUAGCUGGUCUGAGAGGACGACCGGCCACACUGGAUCUGAGACGCGGUCCAGACUCCUACGGGAGGCAGCAGUGGGGAAUUUUGGACAAUGGGCGAAAGCCUGAUCCAGCCAUUCCGCGUGCAGGAUGAAGGCCCUCGGGUUGUAAACUGCUUUUGUACAGAACGAAAAGGUUUCUACUAAUACUAGGAGCUCAUGACGGUACUGUAAGAAUAAGCACCGGCUAACCACGUGCCAGCCGCCGCAGUAA